rnacentral:rRNA from 1 species
CCAAGAAGUCUAGCAUGUACGCGAGUCGUAGGGUCUUACGAAACCUGAAGGCGCAAUGAAAGUGAAGGCUAUCUUUUUCGGUAGCUGAGGUGUGAUCCGGGCUUCAAAAACUCGGCGCAACAUCGGCCCGUCUCAUUCCGCAUUGCCGGAGAGGCGGAGCUUGAGCGUACAUGCUGGGACCCGAAAGAUGGUGACCUAUGCCCGAGCAGGCUGAAGCCAGAGGAAACUCUGGUGGAAGGCCGUAGCGGUUCUGACGUGCAAAUCGAUCGUCGAACUUGGGCAUAGGGGCGAAAGACUAAUCGAACCAUCUAGUAGCUGGUUCCCUCCGAAGUUUCCCUCAGGAUAGCUGGCACUCAUUAAUGCAUUUUUAUCCGGUAAAGCGAAUGAUUAGAGGUAUUGGGGACGAAAUGUCCUCAACCUAUUCUCAAACUUUAAAUGGGUAAGACGCUUGCCUCGCUUCAUUGGAGGUGAGCCGUUCGAAUGCGUUGUGCCAAGUGGGCCACUUUUGGUAAGCAGAACUGGCGCUGUGGGAUGAACCAAACGUGUGGUUAAGGUGCCUCAGCUAACGCUUAUGAGAUACCAUGAAAGGUGUUGGUUGAUAAAGACAGCAGGGCGGUGGCCAUGGAAGUCGGAAUCCGCUAAGGAGUGUGUAACAACUCACCUGCCGAAUCAACUAGCCCUGAAAAUGGAUGGCGCUCCAGCGUCAUACCUAUACCACACCGUCGCGGCAAUAUAUUCACCCAGGAUGUGAAGCUGCGAUGAGUAGGAGGGCCGCUGCGGUAUGCGUGGAAGCCUAAGGCGUGAGCCUGGGUGGAGCUGCCGUGGGUGCAGAUCUUGGUGGUAGUAGCAAGUAUUCAAAUGAAAACUUUGAAGACUGAAGUGGAGAAGGGUUCCACGUGAACAGCACUUGAACGUGGGUGAGUCGGUCCUAAGUGAUAGGAGAACUCCGUUCUGAAAUGAGGCAAUUUGUUUUCUCUUGGUCCUAUUUGGGGAGCUUGCCUAAUCCUAUCGAAAGGGAAUCGCGUUAAUAUUCGCGAACUCGGCUGCGGAGAUUGCUCCUUCGGGAGCACAUGUGGUAACACAACCAAACUUGGAGACGCUAGCGGUGGUCCCGGGAAGAGAUUUCUUUUCUUUGUUAGGAACAGAACCCCUGGAAUCGGCUUGUCCGGAGAUAGGGGCGUUGUUGCCGCAAAGC